AGAACGAACGCUGGCGGCAUGCCUAAUACAUGCAAGUCGAACGAACACUUCGGUGUUAGUGGCGCACGGGUGCGUAACGCGUGGGAAUCUGCCCUUGGGUUCGGAAUAACAGUUGGAAACGACUGCUAAUACCGGAUGAUAUCGAAAGAUCAAAGAUUUAUCGCCCAGGGAUGAGCCCGCGUAGGAUUAGCUAGUUGGUGAGGUAAAGGCUCACCAAGGCGACGAUCCUUAGCUGGUCUGAGAGGAUGAUCAGCCACACUGGGACUGAGACACGGCCCAGACCUCCGUACGGGAGCAGCAGUAGGGAUAGUUGAC
rnacentral:rRNA from 1 species